GCGGCGCCUCGGGACCGGGGCGCGCGCUGCCCGGCGCCGCCUCACAUCGCGGGCUCCGGCGCCGCGCUCCUCGGCCGCCCCGGGUGCGGCUGUGGCGGGGCCCGGGUGCGGCGCGGGCCGCGGUGGCCGUCCCUCCGCAGGGCGCAGGCAGCAAACUUUGGCGGCGUCCGCGCGGCGCCGUCUCCGCCGGCGCGCCGGGCUCGCCCCUUUAUAGAGUGUCUGCGCCGCCGCCCGCGCCCCCCCCGCCGCCGCCGCCGGGCGGCCCCUCCCGGAGCGAGCGGCCGCGGGCAGGGCUCCGACCCGGCGCCUUUGUCUCGCCCGGGCCGCUCGGGCGCCGCGCCUCCUGUUCCGGGCGCGCGGGGUCGGCCGGCCGCCUUCGCUGCUCCGCCGCGGCUCUCAGCGCCGCUCAGCGCGGCGGGCCCGCCCGGGCUCAGGUGCCCCCCGCUCUCCGGACCUUCUCGCCCGGCCCCGCGUCCCCUCCGCGGGCUUCCCCCGGCGGCCGGCCGGGCUCGGAGGCUCGCGGCCGGAGCGGAGCGGAGUGCGCACGCCGGGGUGGCAGGACUUCGGCAAGACCAACUUUCCGGUUCGGAAGCGGCGCGGGCCGCGCGGCUCCUCCCCUCCUCUCCCUCCCCUGCGUUCCCCCUCCCUUCCACUCCCCCCUCUCCCCGCCCCCCAACCCGCGGGCCCCACCGACUCCGGAGCGCCCGCCCCGCCCGCUGCUGCCACCGGGCCGCCUCGCCCCCGCGCCAGCCCGCCUGGGCCUCUGCGCCGCCGGCGGCUUCUUAAAUACAGGAAAGGGAGGGGACCGCAGGGCCCCGGUGUUCCCCACCCUAGUCCCCCUUCACCACGGGCCACCGGGCGCCAGCGGAGUGGGCAGCGAGCGCGACCGAAAGUUCCAACUCCACCAAACUCCCGCGCGCGGCCCACCCUUUCCCGGGAUUUCGGGGAUGACACGGGGGCCAGGUGAGGGGGCUGCGCACUUCUGGAUCGGCCCCACACACUCGGCCCCUGGCGCGGCGCGCUCCCCGCACACGCGCCCGCCCCCUCCCCGCGGUCACACGCACGCGCCCUCGCCCUCGCCCCGCGCGCACAGGCGCGUACUCCCACCCGCGGCCGUGCACCCGCCGCGCUCCUUCCCGCGCGUGUCCUCUCUCCCCGAGCGGCCGCCAGGAUGUGCCCCCGGCCCCGUCGUCGCCGCGCCCGCGCCCCUCGCCCCAGUGUGGACGUGGGGAGGAUCUUCUAAGUCCCUCCAACGAAGGCAAGUGUGAGACUCUGGCCCUUUAUUUGUAAGAAGCAAGCCUUCAGAUUGCAGAAGUGUCGCGCGGGUCGCCGUGCGUUGCGCGAGUGGGAAGAUGGAGGAGGCCGGCACGCUGCUUUCGUGGACGCAAGUGAACCGGGCGUGAAGGCAGGGUGCGAGCUCUGCCCUUGGCCCAGCCCUGCGUGGGCGCCGUCCCAGAUUCCGGGCGGUGCGGGGUGCAGAGAUCUGGAGAGACUUGCGGGCUCCCCAGCGCAGGCUGCUCUGGGAUUUCGUUGGAAGAUCCGGCAGAGCCUUGGAGGAGAGGGCCCGGGAGGCUGUGUGUGCAGCGGAAACUUGUACGAAUGCCCCCACAGCGGAAAUGGUGCGCACGAGUAAUUUCUGCGGUGCACCCUUUUAAAAAUUGACAAGUGAACAAGAUCAAUUUUUUAAGAAAGCAAAGGUAGAAAACAAAAGGCGUGCGACUUCUUGACUGGCUUGUUCCCGCCUUUCUUCCUUCUCUAUACUCAGAUCAGAAACUUUUCUUUAAUUGCUCUUAUUCAGUGCGACAACUUUUAAUAAAAGCAUUUGCAUUUUAAGCCUGAGUUGCAACCAUAGAUUUAUUGCGAAGUGACAACGUGUCUAUGGAAUAUUUUCGCAGAUGAGACAGGACAUGCGCUCUAGUCGUGCCCAGAUUAAAGCGACGCUGGGCCAUGUGCCUGUGUAGUGCAGACUCGGAGGGGCACACACAUACUCGUCACCACAUGACCACUGUCUAUUAAUAUUGUCAUACCUAAACACUCGCAAAAACAAAAGUUGCUUUUCUUCCCUGUAAUUAAA
rnacentral:lncRNA from 1 species